rnacentral:rRNA from 1 species
AUUGAACGCUGGCGGCAUGCCUUACACAUGCAAGUCGAACGGCAGCGGGGGAGAAGCUUGCUUUUCCUGCCGGCGAGUGGCGAACGGGUGAGUAAUACUUCGGAACGUGCCCUGUAGGGGGGGAUAACUAGUCGAAAGAUUAGCUAAUACCGCAUACGACCUGAGGGUGAAAGUGGGGGACCGCAAGGCCUCAUGCUAUAGGAGCGGCCGAUGUCUGAUUAGCUAGUUGGUUGGGUAAAGGCCUACCAAGGCGACGAUCAGUAGCUGGUCUGAGAGGACGAUCAGCCACACUGGGACUGAGACACGGCCCAGACUCCUACGGGAGGCAGCAGUGGGGAAUUUUGGACAAUGGGCGAAAGCCUGAUCCAGCAAUGCCGCGUGUGUGAAGAAGGCCUUCGGGUUGUAAAGCACUUUUGUCCGGAAAGAAAUGGCUCUGGUUAAUACCUGGGGUCGAUGACGGUACCGGAAGAAUAAGGACCGGCUAACUACGUGCCAGCCGCCGCCGUAA